CAAGUCGAACGCGAAAGUUUCCUUCGGGGAAUAAGUAGAGUGGCGCACGGGUGAGUAACACGUAGGUAAUCUACCUUCGGGUGGGGAAUAACCCAGGGAAACUUGGGCUAACACCGCAUGAUGCAGCGGCACCACAUGGUGACAGUUGUUAAAGCGGGGGAUUUUCGGACCUCGCGCCUGAAGAGGAGCCUGCGGCGGAUUAGCUAGUUGGUGAGGUAACGGCUCACCAAGGUCACGAUCCGUAGCCGGCCUGAGAGGGCGGUCGGCCACACUGACACUGACAUACGGGUCAGACUCCUACGGGAGGCAGCAGUCGGGAAUUUUGGGCAAUGGGCGAAAGCCUGACCCAGCAACGCCGCGUGAAGGAUGAAAUCCCUCGGGAUGUAAACUUCGCAAGAAUGGGAAGAAUGAACGAGCGCUAAUACCGUUCGUGAUGACGGUACCAUUUGUAAGCUCCGGCUAACUCCGUGCCAGCAGCCGCGGUAAUACGGGGGGAGCAAGCGUUGUUCGGAUUUACUGGGCGUAAAGGGCGCGUAGGCGGCCAGCGCAAGUCAGUUGUGAAAUCUCCGGGCUUAACUCGGAAAGGUCAACUGAUACUGCGCGGCUAGAGUGCGGAAGGGGCAACUGGAAUUCUCGGUGUAGCGGUGAAAUGCGUAGAUAUCGAGAGGAACACCUGCGGCGAAGGCGGGUUGCUGGGCCGACACUGACGCUGAUGCGCGAAAGCCAGGGGAGCGAACGGGAUUAGAUACCCCGGUAGUCCUGGCCUUAAACGAUGGAUGCUUGGUGUCUGGGGUUUUAUAGUCCCCGGGUGCCGCAGCUAACGCGUUAAGCAUCCCGCCUGGGGAGUACGGUCGCAAGACUGAAACUCAAAGGAAUUGACGGGGACCCGCACAAGCGGUGGA
rnacentral:rRNA from 1 species